AACAUCAAUAUAAAUGGCAAGAUUCUUCUACCUGUUACUUGAGCAAUACCGACCUUUCUCAGACCAUACCGUUAGCAAAAGUUCGCCAGGUGUGAGACAUGUGGCCCGGAAUCAUUAUAAAAUGGACACGUAAAACAAUCGUUAUUCAACUACAGAUAUAUGCUGGUGAAUCUGAACCUUUUCUGGGCAAAAUCAUUAGUAAAUAUAUAUGUAUUAUAUACAAAUUAUUAUUAUAUUUACUUGAAUAAAUCGGCUAGGAGAAAUGUUACUCUGAGCCAUUCUUUCCUGCAUGUUGAAAGAAUAAUACACAGAAAUAUAAACUAUUUAAAAUGUAUGCUUCAAGCGUUUCAGUAUAUAGGUGAAAUAGGUGAUCUUGGACAUCGAAUUUCUGCAAAUUUUGUCAUAUAAAAGGCUCCGAAACUAUCAGAAUUUCUUAUAAUUUCGACAUUAGACUCUGCAUUUUUAUCGAUAUUUUCUGCACAGAAGUCUUAGAAAGUAUCCGAAUUUCUUAUACUUUCGACACUAGACUCUGUAUUUUUCGCGAUAUUUUCUGCACUGCUGUCUUGGAAAGUAUCAGAAUUUCUUUUCGACAUUAGACUCUGCAUUUUUGGCGAUAUUUACUGGACAAAAGCCUUAGAAAGUAUCAGAAUUUCUGAUACAUUGUACACCAACUCGAUCUCUGUAAUUGUUGGCAUAUUUAAUUAAAUAAUAUUGUAAUCGGCUCCAAAAGUAUCAGGAUUUCUGAUACCUUAGAGCUACAGUAAAUCUCUGCAAUUGUUGGCAUAUUUCCACAAUAGUAAGUCUGAGAGUAUCAGAAUCUCUGAUACUUCUACUUCCUGAAAUGAUAAGAAUUUAAAUCUGAAAAUUCCAUGAUUUGUUGCAACUUUAAAUAUUAAAAUUGGUGUAACAAAUCUGAAAACCCUGCAAAUUAAACAUGAAAUUUAGCUUUUGCAUGCAAGAAGCUCGUUUUUUGAAUCACAUUAAAAUUGGCUUGUGCACAAAAAUGAAAGCUUUAACAUCCAACUUGAAUUCUUAAGGUGCAAGUUUGGACAGCGGUUUAAGAACUAUCAAAUAAGACAAAUAUGACCUGUACGUUACGACGUCCUCGCGACAAAAAAAUU
rnacentral:lncRNA from 1 species